CUUUAGGUGCUUUCCUCUUCCAGUGGGAGCCAGACAUGUUCAGCAUCUCCUGCAAGCCAGAUCUAAAACAGCAGCAGGCAAACUCCUGUCUCCUAUCUGGCUCCAGUUAAGAGCUAAGUGAUAUUUCUGUGGAUUAAAAGCCAUAAUCUCUCUAACUGGAAUUUAUCACCAAGAAGGGGAAAAAAGCCCAUCUAUCCAAACCUCCCUUCCACAGCCCUGAGUAGCUGACAUUGUCCACCAGCGAGAGGACCUCUCCAUCCUCGGGCUUCAUGCAACAGAUAAACUAAGUGUACAGGAGAAACACAUCUCCAAACCAUUGCCAGCUCUAGGCCGCGCACUGAUACCAACACCCCAGAUGCUAUGUGCAUUUACUAAAGGAAUGACACACUCUUCUAUCAUCACC